AACGAACGCUGGCGGCAUGCCUAACACAUGCAAGUCGAACGAACCCUUCGGGGUUAGUGGCGCACGGGUGCGUAACGCGUGGGAAUCUGCCCUUUGCUUCGGAAUAACUCAGGGAAACUUGUGCUAAUACCGGAUGAUGUCUUCGGACCAAAGAUUUAUCGGCAAGGGAUGAGCCCGCGUAGGAUUAGGUAGUUGGUGGGGUAAAGACCUACCAAGCCGACGAUCCUUAGCUGGUCUGAGAGGAUGAUCAGCCACACUGGGACUGAGACACGGCCCAGACUCCUACGGGAGGCAGCAGUGGGGAAUAUUGGACAAUGGGCGCAAGCCUGAUCCAGCAAUGCCGCGUGAGUGAUGAAGGCCCUCGGGUCGUAAAGCUCUUUUACCAGGGAUGAUAAUGACAGUACCUGGAGAAUAAGCUCCGGCUAACUCCGUG
rnacentral:rRNA from 1 species